rnacentral:misc_RNA from 1 species
AUUGCCCAAAGUCGCACGUGCCUGUGGGUGUCCGCUGGUUCUCAAAUGGUGAGAUUAACCGGUACGGUACCUGGAACUAACCGCUCCAGUCAUUCUUACGGCCAAUCGAAAGAAUGAGGACAUCUUGAAGCAACGACGGUGCGGGCCUUUCUGGUGUCUUCCAGCUAUUUAAAAUGCUGGGAUAAACUAUAGAGGCACACCUCAUUGCCUUCAGUGCGGAAGUUUUUGUGCAACUCCAAUCAAAAAGGCAGACAAAAUAGAACAAUGCGGUUUUCGCGCUGUUCCUUCG